rnacentral:rRNA from 1 species
AUACGUAUGUCGCAAGCGUUAUCCGGAUUUAUUGGGCGUAAAGCGCGUCUAGGCGGCUUAGUAAGUCUGAUGUGAAAAUGCGGGGCUCAACCCCGUAUUGCGUUGGAAACUGUUAAACUAGAGUACUGGAGAGGUAGGCGGAACUACAAGUGUAGAGGUGAAAUUCGUAGAUAUUUGUAGGAAUGCCGAUGGGGAAGCCAGCCUACUGGACAGAUACUGACGCUAAAGCGCGAAAGCGUGGGUAGCAAACAGGAUUAGAUACCCUGGUAGUCCACGCCGUAAACGAUGAUUACUAGGUGUUGGGGGUCGAACCUCAGCGCCCAAGCUAACGCGAUAAGUAAUCCGCCUGGGGAGUACGUACGCAAGUAUGAAACUCAAAUGAAUUGACGGGG